rnacentral:rRNA from 1 species
AUUGAACGCUGGCGGCAUGCUUUACACAUGCAAGUCGAACGGUAACAGGGUGCUUGCACCGCUGACGAGUGGCGAACGGGUGAGUAAUGCGUCGGAACGUGCCGAGUAGUGGGGGAUAACGCAGCGAAAGUUGUGCUAAUACCGCAUACGUACUUAGGGAGAAAGUGGGGGGACCUUCGGGCCUCACCCUAUUCGAGCGGCCGACGUCUGAUUAGCUAGUAGGUGAGGUAAAGGCUCACCUAGGCGACGAUCAGUAGCGGGUCUGAGAGGAUGAUCCGCCACACUGGGACUGAGACACGGCCCAGACUCCUACGGGAGGCAGCAGUGGGGAAUUUUGGACAAUGGGCGAAAGCCUGAUCCAGCCAUGCCGCGUGUCUGAAGAAGGCCUUCGGGUUGUAAAGGACUUUUGUCAGGGAGGAAAUCCCUAGUGCUAAUACCGCUGGGGGAUGACAGUACCUGAAGAAUAAGCACCGGCUAACUACGUGCCAGCAGCCGCCGUAAUAC